rnacentral:tRNA from 1 species
GCGCCGGUGGUGCUAUGGCGUACAGCACUUCCGAACGGUGAGCAGGAGGUGCGGGUUCGAGUCCCGCCUGGUGCU